rnacentral:rRNA from 1 species
AACCUCCGCAAUGUGAGAAAUCGCGACGGGGGGAUCCCAAGUGCCAUUCUUAACGGGAUGGCUUUUCUUAAGUGUAAAAAGCUUUUGGAAUAAGAGCUGGGCAAGACCGGUGCCAGCCGCCGCGGUAACACCGGCAGCUCUAGUGGUAGCUGUUUUUAUUGGGCCUAAAGCGUUCGUAGCCGGUUUGAUAAGUCACUGGUGAAAUCCUGUAGCUUAACUGUGGGAAUUGCUGGUGAUACUGUUGAACUUGAGGUCGGGAGAGGUUAGCGGUACUCCCAGGGUAGAGGUGAAAUUCUGUAAUCCUGGGAGGACCACCUGUGGCGAAGGCGGCUAACUGGAACGAACCUGACGGUGAGGGACGAAAGCUAGGGGCGCGAACCGGAUUAGAUACCCGAGUAGUCCUAGCCGUAAACGAUGCGGACUUGGUGUUGGGAUGGCUUUGAGCCGCUCCGGUGCCGAAGGGAAGCUGUUAAGUCCGCCGCCUGGGAAGUACGGUCGCAAGACUGAAACUUAAAGGAAUU